AAGUCGUAACAAGGUAUCCGUAGGUGAACCUGCGGAUGGAUCAUUAUGGAAUGGUUGGAUGAUUGUGAGUGGUUUUAUUAAGAUUGAGUGGUGUUGGUUGGGAAGCGAAGCAGGAUUGCGAAGCAAGACAGCCAACAUUGCCCACGUUAAACUAUAUAAAUCUAACUUAAAUACACAUAACAAGAAACAACUUUUAGCAACGGAUCUCUUGGCUCUC
rnacentral:misc_RNA from 1 species